UACGUAGGGUGCAAGCGUUAAUCGGAAUUACUGAGCGUAAAGCGUGCGCAGGCGGUUUCGUAAGUCUGUCGUGAAAGCCCCGGGCUCAACCUGGGAAUUGCAUUCGAGACUGAAUAGCUAGGGUGCGGUAGAGGGAAGCGGAAUUUCCGGUGUAGCGGUGAAAUGCGUAGAUAUCGGAAGGAACAUCAGUGGCGAAAGCGGCUUCCUGGACCAGCACCGACGUUCAGGCACGAAAGCGUGGGGAGCAAACAGG
rnacentral:rRNA from 1 species